rnacentral:rRNA from 1 species
AGUGAACGCUGGCGGUAGGCCUAACACAUGCAAGUCGAACGGCAGCACAGUAAGAGCUUGCUCUUACGGGUGGCGAGUGGCGGACGGGUGAGGAAUACAUCGGAAUCUACUUUUUCGUGGGGGAUAACGUAGGGAAACUUACGCUAAUACCGCAUACGACCUACGGGUGAAAGCAGGGGAUCUUCGGACCUUGCGCGAUUGAAUGAGCCGAUGUCGGAUUAGCUAGUUGGCGGGGUAAAGGCCCACCAAGGCGACGAUCCGUAGCUGGUCUGAGAGGAUGAUCAGCCACAAUGGAACUGAGACACGGUCCAGAAUCCUACGGGAGGCAGCAGUGGGGAAUAUUGGACAAUGGGCGCAAGCCUGAUCCAGCCAUACCGCGUGGGUGAAGAAGGCCUUCGGGUUGUAAAGCCCUUUUGUUGGGAAAGAAAAGCAGCAGGUUAAUACCCCGCUGUUCUGACGGUACCCAAAGAAUAAGCACCGGCUAACUUCGU